GAUGAAGAACGCAGCGAAAUGCGAUACUUGGUGUGAAUUGCAGAAUCCCGUGAGCCAUCGAGUCUUUGAACGCAAGUUGCGCCUCAAGCCAUUAGGUUGAGGGCACGUCUGCCUGGGCGUCACAUAUCGUUGCCUGAUGCCAGUUUCCUCGUGAUGGGUGACUGUGCAGGGCGAAUGAUGGCUUCCCGUGAGCAUUGUUGCCUCAUGGUUGGUUGAAAAUUGAGUCCUUGGUAGGGAGCGCCGUGAUAGAUGGUGGUUGAGUGACGAACGAGACCCAAUCAUGUGAGACCCCUACCGAAUUUGGCCUUCAUGACCCACAUGCGUCUUUGGAACGCUCAUGACGAGACCUCAGGUCAGGCGGGGCUACCCGCUGAGUUUAAGCAUAUCAAUAAGCGGAGGA
rnacentral:misc_RNA from 1 species